GACGAACGCUGGCGGCGCGCUUAACACAUGCAAGUCGAACGGAAAGGCCUGCUUUCCCUUGUGGAUUGCGGGUACUCGAGUGGCGAACGGGUGAGUAACACGUGAGUGAUCUGCCCCCAACUUGGGUAUAAGCCUGGGAAACUGGGUCUAAUUCCCGAUAGGACUGCAGGGUGGUGCCUGUGGUGGAAAACGAUUUUCUAGUGGUUGGGGAUGAGCUCGCGGCCUAUCAGCUUGUUGGUGGGGUAAUGGCCUACCAAGGCGGCGACGGGUAGCCGGCCUGAGAGGGUGGACGGCCACAUUGGGACUGAGAUACGGCACAGACUCCGACGGGAGGCAGCAGUGGGGAAUAUUGCACAAUGGGCGGAAGCCUGAUGCAGCGACGCCGCGUGGGGGAUGACGGCCUUCGGGUUGUAAACUCCUUUCGACCGCGAGGAAGCCACCUGGUUGGAAGGGUGGUGACGGUAGUGGUAGAAGAAGCACCGGCUAACUACGUG
rnacentral:rRNA from 1 species